rnacentral:rRNA from 1 species
ACACUGACGUCGCGACGCAUAUCAAUAAGCGGAGGAAAAGAAACUAACAAGGAUUCCCUUAGUAACGGCGAGUGAAGCGGGAAGAGCUCAAAUUUGAAAUCUUCAAGGUUCUACCUUGACGAAUUGUAGUUUAAAGAAGUGUUUUCUGUUAGUGGAGUGGCAAAAGUUCUUUGGAAUAGGACAUCAUAGAGGGUGAGAAUCCCGUAUUUGGUUAUUCAUUCUAGCUUUGUGAUACACUUUCAAAGAGUCGGAUUGUUUGGGAAUGCAGUCCAAAAUGGGUGGUAAAUUUCAUCUAAAGCUAAAUAUUGGCGAGAGACCGAUAGCGAACAAGUACCGUGAGGGAAAGAUGAAAAGAACUUUGAAAAGAGAGUUAAACAGUACGUGAAAUUGUCAAAAGGGAAGCGUUUGACACCAGUGUUGUUUUCUCGAAAAUCAAUUAUAAAGACUGAUUUUGUGUUGAGUGAUUGACUUCAUCAGGCUUCCUUCUCUCUUUACUGUAACUUUUGUAAUGCACUUUUCGGUUAACAAGUCAACAUCAAUUUCUUUUGUUGUAAAAGAGUCAUUCGGAAGGUGGCUUUCUUUUCGGAGAAAGUGUUUAUAGCCUAUUGCCUCUACAAUCGGAGAGAUUGAGGUCUGCAGCGUAGAUCCUUCGGGGUUAGAUACAUUUGUGCUAAGUUAUAGCUUUUCAUAGACAACUUGUUGACUAUGUUUAGUCUUGUCGCUUACUCGCUUAGUGCUAUUUUACCUACGCUUAGGAUGUUGAGUCGUAGAGCACGCAG